rnacentral:rRNA from 1 species
AAUCCGGCUUCGGUUGGAUGAGUAAAGUGGCGAACGGGUGAGUAACACGUGGAUAAUCUGCCCUUAAAUCUGGGAUAAUCUCUCGAAAGGGGGUCUAAUACCGGAUAAUACCCUUUGGUGGCAUCAUCUUAGGGUCAAAGGCGGGGCAACCUGCCGUUUGAGGAUGAGUCCGCGUCCCAUUAGCUUGUUGGUGAGGUAACGGCUCACCAAGGCCCCGAUGGGUAGCCGGCCUGAGAGGGCGAUCGGCCACACUGGGACUGAGAUACGGCCCAGACUCCUACGGGAGGCAGCAGUAGGGAAUAUUGCGCAAUGGACGAAAGUCUGACGCAGCAACGCCGCGUGGGUGAUGAAGCUUCUUGGAGUGUAAAACCCUGUCAGUGGGGAAGAAACGUAUGGGGAGUAACUGCCCUGUACCUGACGGUACCCGCAGAGGAAGUCCCGGCUAACUCCGUGCCAGCAGCCGCGGUAAUACGGGGGGGACAAGCGUUGUUCGGAUUUACUGGGCGUAAAGGGCGCGUAGGCGGACCUUCAAGUCGGGUGUGAAAACCGGCGGCUCAACUGCCGGCCUGCAUUCGAUACUGUUGGUCUUGAGUACAUGAGAGGAAGGCGGAAUUCCAGGUGUAGCGGUGAAAUGCGUAGAUAUCUGGAAGAACACCAGUAGCGAAGGCGGCCUUCUGGCGUGAUACUGACGCUGAAGCGCGAAGGCUAGG